GGAGCGGCAGCAGGAGCAGCAGGAGGAGAGGAGAGGAUGAACCGCGGGGCUCUGGCUCUGCCUGAUCUCGCAGCACCCCAGGAGCAUCGCCCCCAUCCUGCAGACGGAGCUGAGGAUGGAGAGCAGGGAGGACAAAUCCCCACGGCAGAAGCUCAUGGAAGAGGCCGAUUUGAGUGGCUCCAUGGCACAGGAAUCCAACAGGGAGGAAAAGCCCCGGAGAUCCCAGAGGAGGAGGGGCUGCAAACCCAGCCCAGGGUGCUCUGAGGAGGAAAGACCCACCCUGUGCCAGGAAGGUAGGCAGAGCUUCAGCCAGAGCUCGGAGCUGGUGGUCCCUGAGAAGCUUCAUGAUGGGGAGAAGCCCCACAAGUGCUUGGAAUGUGGGAAGAUCUUCAGGCAGAGCUCCGACCUGAUCUGCCACCAGAUGAUCCACACCGGGGAAUGGGCCUAUGAGUGUGGGGAGUGUGGGAAGGGCUUCAGCUGCAGUUCAGAACUCAUCAGGCUCUAAUGCAUCUACACUGGGGAGAGGCCCUGCGAGUGUCCUGAGUGUUAGAAGAGGUUUCGGACCAGCUCCAAUCUCCUCCUGCAUGAGUGGAUUCACAUGGAUGAGAAGCUUUUCUGCUGCCCCGACUGCGGGAAGGGCUUCAAGCACAACUCCCACCUUGUCACUCACCAGCGCAUCCACACUGGGGAGAGGCCCUACGAGUGUCCUGUGUGUCAGAAGAGGUUUCAGACCAGCUCUGAUCUCCUCCAGCACCAGCGGAUUCACACGGAUGAGAGGCCCUUCCACUGCCCCGACUGCAGGAAGGGCUUCAAGUGCAACUCCAACCUCGUCAUCCACCAGCGCAUCCACACCGGGGAGAGGCCCUACGAAUGUCCCCAGUGUGGGAAGAGCUUCUCCAGGAGCUCUCACUUGACCAAACGCCAACGGAGGCACUAGCAAGGGAAACCCCGUGAGUGCCCCAGCUGCAGGAAGAGCUUCGUGUCAUGCUCCAACUCCAUCCCCCUUGGGAGGACCCAUGUUGGUCACAGCCCUGGUGACCCACAUUCCCAGUGAUCCUUGCUGAGAAGACACCUGUAAGGUGGUCUCCACGUCCUCCUGGAUCCCCAUAGGCCCCUGGAUGAACGCAGGGGCAGGAACAUCCAUCAAGACUCUGAUCUAAACAGGAAAUUCAUUGUGAGGAAGUGAUUUGUUGACUUUACACCCCAAAAAUCUCACCUGCUCUGUCCAGUUAUUCUUCUGAUGGCAUCAAGCAGUGCUGCAUGAUCUUGGAGGUCUUUUCCAUCUAAAUAACUUCCUUCUUCACCCUGUCUAAACAACCAAAACUGGGAUGAAAAUAAAGAAAUUAAACUAAGAUAUC
rnacentral:lncRNA from 1 species